UAAUUGCUUGUCGUUGAGUCGAAUCGGGCCGAUCUCAUAAAAAUAAUGCGUCCAUUUAUACAUACUGAAAAAUUUAUUCCAAAGCAGAUACUCCAUUCUUUUCCUCUCAAACAGCAGUUCCCAGCAUAUCCCUCAGAUGAAAUUAUCAGAGUCAGAUGAGAAUUACUGAAUCAGGAAAUUAUAUAUCGAAGGUCACCUGCCAAGAAUUAAUUAUGAAGAAUGUUGGAUUCAUUCGGAAUAAACCCUAUUGGAGUGGAGGGACAAGUAUUUGCAGUACAAUCCCGCAUCCGCAGCAGCUGAUAACGUCCCUUGCUAGAGCUUCACGAGUGGCUCGUCGGAAUUCUCAACGAGGAACUCGAAAAGUUCAACGAUUUCUACGUCGAUAAGGAGGAAGACUUCAUCAUCCGCUUCCAGGCAUUGAAGGAUCGCAAGGAACAUACCUGAAGAAGUUCCAAAUGCCACGACGAAGUAUCUCCAAGCAGGCAAUAACAGCGGUCAUGGCAUUUCUGUGGAGAAAUGGCAGAUUGAAAUCAAGGACCAGCUGCAUCCAUACAAGCCUCAGAAGUAUGUUGGCUACCUGCAGUUUCAUGCCAGACACUCUCUGAGACCCCAAUCCACUACAAUAUCCCAAUACGUGUUGUAGAUGGUCGUGAUGCCAGAUGUUGCUGCAGCCAUGAUUCUCCAAAACGACGAUGCAUUGCCAUUUUGUACAGUGAUAUCAUACAAUGACCUCAUCACAAGAGCAACGACUGUUGAGAAAUACUUUAGGCCAUUGAGGCCCUGCAUAGCGCUUUUCUCCUCAAAGACACGACGGAGGCACUGAGUUCAUCCAAGCAGCAAAGUUUUAGCUGAGAAGACUGAAUUUAAGAUUAAUAUGAUCAAUGGAGUUUAAGUUACCUGAAGGAGGCGCAGCCAGAAUGGAAUAACGGCUACAGCUAUGUAUAGAAACUUGGUCUGGCUCGCGCGGAAACAUCCCAGACCAGAGAAACUGCUAGCCACCCUCCAACUUCGAUAAGUUAUCCAGAAUUUCUUCGUUGCUUUUAACAUUGAUUUACUCCAAGAUUGAUAUAAAGAAGCUUUAAUAAAUUUUUUUAAAAAUGAUUAUUUAAUUUGUGUUCGAAUGGCUGAAGUAAAGCCUAAAUAUAGAGUAUGUUGAUUGAAAAUUUCAUGCAUGUAUGAAAUGAAUUCAGUGCUAUACUUUGCAAAGAGUUGCUUCCUAGCAUGAAAUGUUCAGCACCGUCCGUCACUGCAGUUAGGUAAAAAUCAUGAUCCUAUUCACUAGUGUUGUUUAUUUAGCUUAACAUAUUGCAUUUAGAUGAUGUAGAUAAUGUGGUACCUGGCUCGUCAUCUGAUCUGCCAUGAAAAAAUCAAUGAAGACCUUGUAGAGAGGGGCACAGAUGCAGUGGAAUGUAGAACGAAUGAGAAAGAAACGACUGGAACGGUAUAUUAUGUUGAAGGGACAUAGUGUUAUAACAAGCACAACCUGAAAUAGAAAUAUUCAUUAGUUUUUCAUCA